rnacentral:rRNA from 1 species
GACGAACGCUGGCGGCGUGCUUAACACAUGCAAGUCGAACGGAAAGGCCCUGCUUUUGUGGGGUGCUCGAGUGGCGAACGGGUGAGUAACACGUGAGUAACCUGCCCUUGACUUUGGGAUAACUUCAGGAAACUGGGGCUAAUACCGGAUAGGAGCUCCUGCUGCAUGGUGGGGGUUGGAAAGUUUCGGCGGUUGGGGAUGGACUCGCGGCUUAUCAGCUUGUUGGUGGGGUAGUGGCUUACCAAGGCUUUGACGGGUAGCCGGCCUGAGAGGGUGACCGGCCACAUUGGGACGGGGAUACGGCCCAGACCCCUACGGGGGGCAGCAGUGGGGAAUAUUGCACAAGGGGCGGAAGCCGGAUGCAGCAACGCCGCGGGCGGGAGGACGGCCUUCGGGUUGGAAACCGCUUUCGCCUGUGACGAAGCGGGAGUGACGGUAAUGGGUAAAGAAGCCCCGGCUAACUACGU